ensembl:snRNA U6 U6 spliceosomal RNA
GUGUUUGUUUUAGCAGUAUAUACACUAAAAGUUGGAACAAUACAGAGAAGAGUACCGUUGGCCUUAUGCAUGAAUGACUCACAAAUUUAUGAAGUGUUCCAUAUUUUC